CCCACAUUCAUUUUCACAAUUCCCUCACUUUUUUUUAUGGCCAAAAACAAUUCCCUCACUUUUACUUAAAAAAUUUUCAUUUGUUCCAUAUUUCCCUCACUUUCACCGUAUAAUCCAAAAGGGGAACAAAAAAACCCUAACCUAAUUUACUCCAAUCUCUCUCAACUCACUCUCCGUCUCUCUCAACUCUCGAUCUCUCUCAACUCACUCUCGGUGAUCUCUCUCAACUCUCGAUCUCUCUCAACUCUCGAUCUCUCUCAACUCACUCUCGGUCUCUCUGAACUCUCGAUCUCUCUCAACUCACUCUCGGUCUCUCCCAACUCAAUCCGUCGAAGGUUCUUGAAUCGGGUGAAGCAGGUUACCAUGAUAUGAUAGAAUGUGUGGAAACCCUUGCAAAGCUACUGGAGUGAAGGCAGAAGAAAUAUUAGUUGAAUCUACUGGUGUAAUUGGUCAAAGGAUAAAGAAGGUAUAUGUAGAGAUUCUGUUCAUUGAGUUUUAUAUCCUAUGUGCUUGUAUUCUCUAUGAUUACAUUCUGUAAUAUUCACAAGAUUCUGGACAAGCCACUUGAGAAAUAUUCAAACAAGCUUAAUUGUUUAAUUACUGCUAAACUCACUUCUUUGUAUGUGUGCUUAUAAGCAGCUUUUAUAUAAUUAGUUAAUUAUUUGUUUAUUGUAUUGUGCAGAGAUGUCUGGGAAUACGGGUAAAAGGAAAGACAAUCCAACAAGCUCUGGUGAUCUUGACCCAAUGGCCUUGUAUAAUCGUCGAAAUCAGUCGGCAGUUAUCAUGGAGCCCGGUUCCAUAUUAAGGCCACCUACAUUUCAUUCAUAUGCACGGGAGCCUAGUUCCACUACAUUUCGGCCGGCUACAUUUAAUCCACCAUACCAGCUUACAUUUCAGUCCCAUGUACAAGAGCCUGGUUGCACUCCACCGGCAUUAGAUAACAAAGCAACUCUGUACAGUUUAGGGACUGAUUUUGCGUAACUCGGAUGGCGAAACAGUCUGAAGUGCAUGCAAAAGAGAAGACUUUAUGUUGAUCUGCUUAUUGGUGAAGCGCUGGGGUUUUGUUGGCUGAAGCGCUGAAGACUUUCUAUUCAUUUUGAUGCUGCUAAUGUGGUAAACUGUAAUUAUAGAAAUUCUAGCUUUGCUGCUAUUAAUUUAAUUGUCAAGGAUUGUAGGAAGUUAGUGACUAGGUUGACAAAUGUAUGUUUUGUUUGUUGGUAGAACACAAAUUCUGGUGCUCACAAUAUGGCCUCUUUGACUAGUAUUAUAGGUAAUAGAAUUUGGGUAAUAGUAUUAUGGGUACAAUUUGGCCUCUUUCUGUUUCUGUAGUUGUUUGAUGUUCCGUGUAACAUUAAUGGCUGUGUUUCAGCUUGUUCUUAAUGAAUUAUGUUUAACCUCAAAAAAAUGUUGUGUAUCAUAUUGCUACUUUGGUUGAUUAUAUUGUUUUGGGAUGCAA